rnacentral:rRNA from 1 species
GACGAACGCUGGCGGCGUGCUUAACACAUGCAAGUCGAACGGAAAGGCCCUGCUUUUGUGGGGUGCUCGAGUGGCGAACGGGUGAGUAACACGUGAGUAACCUGCCCUUGACUUUGGGAUAACUUCAGGAAACUGGGGCUAAUACCGGAUAGGAGCUCCUGCUGCAUGGUGGGGGUUGGAAAGUUUCGGCGGUUGGGGAUGGACUCGCGGCUUAUCAGCUUGUUGGUGGGGUAGUGGCUUACCAAGGCUUUGACGGGUAGCCGGCCUGAGAGGGUGACCGGCCACAUGGGGACUGAGAUACGGCCCAGAGUCCUACGGUAGGCAGCAGGGGGGAAUAUUGCACAAUGGGGGGAAGCCUGAGGCAGCAACGCCGCGUGCGGGAUGACGGCCUUCGGGUUGUAAACCGCUUUCGCCUGUGACGAAGCGUGAGUGACGGUAAUGGGUAAAGAAGCACCGGCUAACUACGUG